AUAGUUUUGGAGUGGAAAAUAGGGCCAGAGAUAAGGAUUAGGAUAGAUGCUUUCAUUCUUCUUCAAAGUUGGUAUUUAUUGGCCUCAGGACUGGUUCUGGUGGACCUUCUCUUUGGUUUUCAUUUGUUGGGGGUUUUAUUUCUUCAGAAGAACUCAAAGAUAAUUUUUAUGUAUAUUCUUUGAGGAACCAGGAACCAGGACGCCGCCCCAAGGCUGCACUACUGUUUCUUGACUGUUCCUCCCUUGUGUCUGCAUCUCCUUCAUCCCCUGAUUAGCAACUGUUUGAACCUGCCCUUCAGAACUCAGGGAAGGUCAUAGAGGCUGAAGCUUAUUCUCUCAAAGUAAGAAAUGGGAGACACAGAAAGGUUUGUGUGCCCAGAAACCCCACAGGGCCCUUCUUAGUUUCAAUACUGAAACCCCACCAGAUAGAAGAAGAUAACUGUAUGCUGUUCGCAAGCAAGUAAACCCACAUCAACUGGAACCAGGUUCAUUUACAAUUACCUCACUAUCAACCAAUCAAAAGAUUGUCCAUGAGUUCCUUAAGCACUCUAAGACUUCUCACUGCCCAUUCCAGGGCAGGGCACAGCUUGGGUGUGGCUCCUUUUGCCUGACAAGGCAGUAAAGCUAUUCUUUUGUACUUCACCCAAAACUCUGCCUCCAUGUUUCUCUUUGGCACCAGUGAACAGAGGCUGAAUUUCAGCAACAGACCAGCUUUGGUGGCCCCACCAGUCUCAGUUAUUGGCUGAUGCUUUAGUCUGCUCUGGAUGUUAUACUACAAACUGGGUGGCUUAAACAAUGAACAUUUGUUUCUCACAAUUCUGGAAACUGAAAAAUCCAAGAUCAAUGUGCCAGCAAAUUUGAUUUCUAGUGACAGCUCUCUUCCUGGCUUGCAGGCAUGGGCCAUCUUGCUGUUACCCCACAUGGCAGAGAAAGAGAAACACCAAGCUCUCUGAUAUCUCUGCUUUUAAGGACACGAAUCCUAUUGGACCAGCACCCCACCCUCAUGACCUCAUUCAUCUUUAUAGGCUCUAUCUCAAAAUGCAGUCACAUUGAGAGGUGGUGGUUAGGAUUCCAAAAUAGAAAUUUAGAGAGAAUAAUUCAAUCCAUCACAAUUGGGUUGAUCUCAGAGAAAAAAUGCCUCAGCAUUAAUGCCACACCAGAUUCUUAGGUGUGGCAGCUAGAGGCUGUGAGACAACUGUACUUCCUGAAGCAAUGUUUCUUAAAGGAAUAUGUAAGCAGCCACAACUCUUUCUUCUGUAAGUUCUACAGCACUUGUCCAUAGAGAGCCAAAAUGCUCAAUGGAGAAUAUUCUAAAUGCAAAUUUAUAUUAAAAUGUAUAAAUAUUUUACGCCCCAAAUACUCACAGUUGAUUUUAUUUGCCUCCAUUAAGAGUAACUUUCUCUGAAAAAUUUAUUUUACAAACUCACCAACUAUAUUAUGUUUUAGCAAAAUCAGAUCCACAAAAUCAUAGAUUUUUUUCAGUUUUAUUCCAUAAUAACACAAAGUAUGAUCUGAAAGGUAGGAAUGGACUUUGGAGUUGCUGAAUCCUGGACUGCUAAGGGCCACUUUAAGGAAAUUAAAUUUCACCUCACUUAAUCUUUCAGUAAGGAAAGCAAAGCAUCUUUUUGCAACAAUUAUUUUCCCCUGAAGAAGCAGCACACAUGAGCCCUUUGUUAUGAAACAGUCAGGAUUUAGAAAAAUAGCAGGAAGGUUAAAAACAAAAACAAACAAACAAAAACUCUGAAAGAAUGAAUGUCCAAAGGAGCUUUUCAUAUUCUCUCCUCUGAGCAAGAGGGAUUAUCCACAACUGCAUACAUCUGUAGGAAACUCUGGGUAGUUGGGUCUUUCUGAGAGUGCUCUGUGUUACCACUUGCAUUACUAACCAUAUCCAUACAUUUCUGUAACCUUCUGUAAAAAUCUUUUUCACUAUGUCCACAUGACUCCACAAUGCCAUACCAUCUCACUGGAACAAUUGGAAAUGAGAAAAAGAAACUAACAUUUUUCCCCUCCAUCUUCCAAAAUGUAUUUAAUUUGCUGUUUAGAAAAUGAAGACAGUAAAACAUAACAAAAUUAAAAUUGAAAUGUUUAAGUCAGGAAAUUAUAAAAAGAUGUUCAAAACAAUGUAUUACAAAUUUAUAAUUGAGAAAUUGUACAAAAAAAUGCAGUAUUCCUCUUGGAAGCAGGUAUCAGAUUUGACACUGAGUUAUCAAGCAGCAAUUCCAGAAGGUAUUAAGGCAAAAGUUAAACUGAACAAAGAUAAACAGACAAGGAAGACUAUUCAAGUUACUGCAACUAGGGAGAGAGGCUGAAUUCAACACUGAAGCAAAAGGUGGGAGUGUUUUUAAGAGCUGAAAUGAUCCAGUGGAAAGUACUGGAGAACUCUGGGGGACAAGUUAAUCAAUGGGAUAUGUGGAGCACAUUGUAUUAUUCCUGAGUUUAAAAAUGUUUUUCUCUGUGAUUAAGCCAUCUGUGUUUGCUAAUUGGCAUAGAAAUUAGGCUCCUAAUCUCCUACAGAGACUGAAGUUAGAGAUGUUAUCUUCUUAUAUGUUUACAUUUUAAAGAGAUGAUUCCAAGUCCUUGAAGAAAGACAUUUCCUAUGUUAUAAAAGUGUUUAGGAAGCUGGGGAAAAGAGUUACAUACAUUUCCAAGGAGCACAGAAAGAAUUUAUAAUUGCCAGUUUUCAAGAGUAAAUGCUCCAAGGAAAGAGAGGUCAGGGGCCCAGAGUCAGGAAGAAGUCUGUCUGAAGUUUUGUCUGGAUGAGGGGAACAUUCAGCCCUCUUAGAGGGUCAGAGGAUAAGAUGUUUCAUUAUGUUGCUCAACAAAAUCAUACUGGUUUUUUUUUUUUUAAAAAAAAGAUGACCCCCACAAAUAACUUGUAUUUCUGAAAAUGAAAUAGAAUUAGGGAUAAAUCCAUGCAGUGGUUCCUUAUACUUGAAAAGAUGGUAAGGAAAUAAACAGUAUUCUUCACAACAUAUUUACAGUAAUGAUCACCAUCGUUGCAUAGGGAUUUUUCUUCAGUGUGGGUGGAAGAAGUAAGGCUACAAUAUAACUUUUUAAUUAAAUUGAGUAAGAAAAGACAUGGAUAAAAAUACAGAGUUUAGAUUUUUAGAUUAUCUAUUCUCAUAAGAGGACAGAUUUAAAAAAUGGGCAGAGGCAACCUCCAUGUAUGCUAAGGAAUUAGAAGCAGCAAUGUUUGUAGUUGUGCUUUACAAUUCCCUGUUAAUGACUCCUAGAUUCCUUGCUAAGGCCUGAGAAGGGAGAACCAGGGCAAACACUUCUUUAUGUUACUGAGAAGCAUCAAAAUACGUGUCAACAAAGAAAUCUAUCUCACCCCUGCAUAGAGGUGCAUAUACCUAGUACAGUAUAUGUGAUGUCUUCUCUGCAGUGAGGAUAUUAUGCAAAUAUUGUCUCAUUUAUUUUUCACAAAAACAGUGAGUUUUUUUAAUUUCUGCACAUAUUUUAAAUACUUUUCAAUUUCUUUAAAAGUACAAAAAUACUUUUAGUGCUUUCUUUUACAUACCUCAAAGGCCUGGCCAGGUUAGGCCAUUUGACUUAAUUCAUACAGAGUGAACUCUUGAAUAAUAUAGGGAUUAGUAGUGCUAACUCUCUUACCCACCCAGUGGAAAACCCAUACUUAACUAUACAGUCCACGUGUACUUGAUAUCCAUGAUUCUGCAAGUAGAUUCAACCAACUGUGGAUCAUAAACUACAGCAGUAAGUACUUAUUGAAAAAAAUCCCUUUAUAAGCAGAACUGCACAGUUCUAACUCCUGUUGUUCAAGGGCUGACUAUGCCACUUAUAGCACUGGCGAAUGGCAAACUUGAAUUUGAAGCCAGGUCUGUCAGACCCUAAAUUUGCUUAAUUCUUUUCACUAUACUGGGUUAACUAUCCAAAGAUUGAUAGAGGGGUCCUAAAAUAAUAUAAUUUUAGAGAAAGGCAGAUAAUAUAGUUGCCUUCUGAACCUGCAGAUUCAGAGGGCUGACUAUACAUGUUAUACAAGGGACAUGGACAUUCAUGAAAAUUCAUAUCUAUAGGUUGUCCUAGAAACAAUCCUUCCUGGAUAUCAAGGGACAAUUAUAUAAAUAUACAAUUCUGACCUUGUAUAAGACAGAGCAGGACUAUAAGAAAUAUUUAAUAUUUCUUCUCACUUAACAGUAAGAAGAACAAUACUAAAAGUGCUCUGCUAAAUAUCAAGUGACACUGGGCUCCCAUGUUAGGAGGUGAUAGGGAGUGGUGCAGACUGUGGUGAAAUACAGGGGAGGUGACCUCAACCUAGCCAACAAUCACAAUGUUUGGAAAAAGAUCCGCUAGUAUGAAAUUUUCUGAUUUUUUUUUUUUAAAAAGGAAAUCAUUAAUCCACAUACAAAGUGAAAUCCCCCAGUUCCAAUUAAGAAUAAAAUAUAAAUACUGUGUAGGCCAACCCUGUAUGAGUCAAACAAAAUACAUCUGUGAACCAUCUGGGGUGCUCCAGCUGCCAGUUUGCAACCUCGGAUAGGAAAACACACUCAGUAUUGCACUUUGAAUUGUUAAGGGCAAACAGUACAGGAAGCCAAGUGAAGUAGGCAGGGGAUAAACCAGUACAUUAUUUCAAAAUGAAUAUAUUCCUUUUCUGUCUUCCUCUUCUAGUUAUUCAACAGGCAGGAUGCAAAAUACUAAGGUUAGUAUCUUUAAAAGGAGACGAUAAACCUUGUUCAAUAGACUAACAAAUCAAGACUAAUUAUAUCCCAUAGUUUUAAAAUGUCCACUAUUCUAGAAAGUAAAGCUAAAUAAAGAAACGAUGUUUUAGAAGUUCUUGUUGUUGCUCAGUGGUUAACAAAUCCAACUAGGAAUCAUGGGGUUGCAGGUUCGAUCCCUGGCCUCCCUCAGUGAACUGUGAUGUAGGUCACAAACGCAGCUCGGAUCUGGCAUUGCUGUGGCUGUGGUGAAGACCAGCCGCUACAACUCUGAUUUGCCCCCUAGCCGGGGAACUUCCAUAUGCCCUGGGG
rnacentral:lncRNA from 1 species